GAUGAAGAACGCAGCGAAAUGCGAUAAGUAAUGCGAAUUGCAGAAUUCAGUGAGUCAUCGAAUCUUUGAACGCACAUUGCGCCCUGUGGUAUUCCGCAGGGCAUGCUUGUUCGAGCGUCAUUUCAACCCUCAAGCUCUGCUUGGUGUUGGGCCCUGCCCGCUGCGGCCGGCCCUAAAGACAGUGGCGGUGCCGCCUGGCCCUGAGCGUAGUACAUCUCUCGCUCCAGUGCCCGGUGGUAGCCUGCCAGAACCCCAACUCUCGUGGUUGACCUCGGAUCAGGUAGGACUACCCGCUGAACUUAAGCAUAUCAAUAAGCGGAGGA
rnacentral:misc_RNA from 1 species